rnacentral:lncRNA from 1 species
CGCGGGCCGGUUGGGCUGGCCUCGCAGGCACGGCCGCUCCCCGCCACGCCGCCCGCCCGCGCGCCCGCCCCGCCGAGCGCUGGGUGGGCCCCGCGCAUGGGAACGCCGCGGAGGGCGAGCUGCGAGUGUGCCCCCGCGCGUGCAAGGGCCGGGAGGGGGCCCGCGGGUGUGCCAAAGGGAGCGCGAGCAUGGCCAACGUGCCCAAGAUGAGUGUGUCCCCGUGUGAGGGUGUGUGCAGCUGUGUGUGGCUGUGUCUGAGUGGUUUUGAGUGUGUCUGAGUGUGCCCCCAUGUGCCUGAGUGUGCGUGAGCGUGUGCAAGCGUGCAGGAAUGUGCCCCGGUGUGUGCUGCCGUGCCCAAGGGUGUGCACGCGUGGUGAGCAGCUGUGAGCACACGGAAGCUUGCACAAGCACCUCUAAGUGUGUGAGCAUGCCGGUGACAUGUGAGUGUGUCCAAGUGUGCACAAGGGUGUGCAAAUGUUUAUAAAGCAUGUACAAGUGUGUCUGAGUGUGCGCCAGCUCCUCUGUGCAUGUGCAAGCACGCCUAAGCAUGUGUGAGUGUGCCCCAGCAUGUGGAAGCAAGCAUGAGCACAUCCAAAUGUGCACGAGCGUGCCCCAGCAUGUGAGUGUACACAAGUGUGCUUGAGAGUGCAUCGGUGUGUCCGAGCACGUGUAAGCACGCCAAAGCAUGCACGAGCGUGCCCUGCCAUGCCUGAGCACGCGCAAAUGUGCACAAGCGUGCAUAAACAUGCUGAAGCACGCGUGGAUGUGUGUGAGUGCACACACAUGAGUGUGUGGAAGCUGGCAGUAGGCGUGAGCACAUGCACGUGCCCAAGUGUGUGUGAGUGCACCCAGCACCUGAGAGCACACCCAAGUGUGCCUGAGCGUGCAGAAAUGCGCUGGAGCAUAUAUAGGUGUGCCCAAACCUGCGUGUCCAAGCUGCCCCCACUGUUGCACAAACAUAGACAAGUGUGCCCGAGUGCGAGCGCAAACACAAGCGUGCCCAGGUGUACGCAAGCACGUAUGAGUGUGCACAAGCGCGUGCAAGCACGCCUGCCUGCACGAGUGCACCCGAGCGCCGGUGAGCGUGCAAUGCCGCGAGCACACCGGCGCCCCGUGGCGAGUCCCGAGGCGCCGG